UACAGAGGGGGCAGGCGUUGUUCGGAAUUACUGGGCGUAAAGGGCGCGUAGGCGGCCUGUUAAGUCGAACGUGAAAUCCCCAGGCUCAACCUGGGAACUGCGUCCGAUACUGGCAGGCUUGAAUCCGGGAGAGGGAUGCGGAAUUCCAGGUGUAGCGGUGAAAUGCGUAGAUAUCUGGAGGAACACCGGUGGCGAAGGCGGCAUCCUGGACCGGCAUUGACGCUGAGGCGCGAAAGCUAGGGUAGCAAACGGG
rnacentral:rRNA from 1 species